ACGGGAGGCAGCAGUGGGGAAUAUUGGACAAUGGGGGAAACCCUGAUCCAGCGACGCCGCGUGAGUGAAGAAGUAUUUCGGUAUGUAAAGCUCUAUCAGCAGGGAAGAAAAUGACGGUACCUGACUAAGAAGCACCGGCUAAAUACGUGCCAGCAGCCGCGGUAAUACGUAUGGUGCAAGCGUUAUCCGGAUUUACUGGGUGUAAAGGGAGCGUAGACGGAUGGCUAAGUCUGAUGUGAAAGGUGAGGGCUCAACCCUUAAACUGCAUUGGAAACUGGUCAUCUAGAGUGUCGGAGAGGUAAGUGGAAUUCCUAGUGUAGCGGUGAAAUGCGUAGAUAUUAGGAGGAACACCAGUGGCGAAGGCGGCUUACUGGACGAUAACUGACGUUGAGGCUCGAAAGCGUGGGGAGCAAACAGGAUUAGAUACCCUGGUA
rnacentral:rRNA from 1 species